GACGAACGCUGGCGGCGUGCCUAAUACAUGCAAGUCGAACGCAUUUUCUUUCACCGUAGCUUGCUACACCGAAAGAAAAUGAGUGGCGAACGGGUGAGUAACACGUGGGUAACCUGCCCAUCAGCGGGGGAUAACACUUGGAAACAGGUGCUAAUACCGCAUAAUUCCAUUUACCGCAUGGUAGAUGGAUGAAAGGCGCUUUUGCGUCACUGAUGGAUGGACCCGCGGUGCCUUAGCUAGUGGGUGGGGUAAGGGCCUACCAAGGCGGCGAUGCAUAGCCGACCUGAGAGGGUGAUCGGCCACACUGGGACUGAGACACGGCCCAGACUCCUACGGGAGGCAGCAGUAGGGAAUCUUCGGCAAUGGACGCAAGUCUGACCGAGCAACGCCGCGUGAGUGAAGAAGGUUUUCGGAUCGUAAAACUCUGUUGUUAGAGAAGAACAAGGAUGAGAGUGGAAAGUUCAUCCCUUGACGGUAUCUAACCAGAAAGCCACGGCUAACUACGUG
rnacentral:rRNA from 1 species